UACAAAUUGUGCGACAGAGACCAAUUGGGCGCCGCCGACCCAGCACCGCACGCCCUCCCUGUGUCACUGCCUCUCCCCACCGCAAAACCGCCCCUGUUGCCGCCGCCGCCACCCGGCCGACCGGCCACCGGCGGCGGCGGCGGCCCGUGGUUGCGCCGAAGUCGGCCAGCCGCCUCCCUCCCUCCCUCCCCCCUCUCCCCCUCAGCCCUCGUCUCUCCCUCAGCCCCGAACCCUAAUCGCCUCCUCCAACUCCGUUUUGGUCGCCGGUGGCAGCCGGAGUCCGGAUCCGCUCGCUCCUUCGCCGGAUCCAUGCCUCCCUUGGUCGGAUCUUGCACUGUGCGGUGUUCCGCCCGGCCGGCAUGGGGUCACCCUCUCCGUCCCCGGCGGCACUGGCGCGGCCCCCCGCCCCCUCUCACGGCUCUCGAGCGUGCGGUGGCGCCGGCGCGCGGGUGGCCCGCUCGCUGUUGCUUCGGUGGCGGCGCCGGCGCGGUCCCACGGCCCCACCCUUCCCACGCGUGCGCGGCGCUGUCCAGCCGCGAGGCAGGCCAGCGUCGUCCCUGGGCCCCGCGCGGAGCGCAGGCCGCGGGUGGCUCGCUUGCUGCUCUGUUGCUGGCGGCGCCGGCCUCUGGUCGGAAGCAUGGCCUCCUGGGCUGUGCUCGCCCGGUGGCCGGUUCCUCGCUGCUGAUGCUCCGGGGCCGCCGGGCACCGGUGGCCGAUGUUCCGGCUGGUGCCGGCACUAGGCGUCGUCAACUGCCGUUACUGGUCCCUGUUUGGAGAGGAUUGAUCUUCUGCGUCCAAGUGUGCUUCAUGACCUCUUCUGCGCCAUGGUCUGCUCUGUUUGAUUCCCGCGGAUUCAUGUUUGGCGGAUGCUUUGCCGCCAUUGGGGCUUGGUGGAUGUUUUGCCACCUUUGUUUUGUGUCGUCUAUGGCGGAUACUUAGCCGUCGUGUUCUGCCGCUCUAGCGGAUGCUUUGCUGCUAUUGUCGUGGUCAUGGUCGUUGUUGGUUGGUCUAGACGGAUGCUUCGCCGUCGUGUUCUGUCACUAGCGGAUGCUUUGCCGCUUUUGUUGUGGUCGCUGCUAGAUGUUGCUAGAUGUUCCGGACGGAUGCUUUGCCGUUGCGGCUGUAGUAGUCAUGGCGUUGAGGUAACGAGCAGACAAGGUAGCCACCGCUACAGUUAGGAAAUAGGACAUCACCAAUAUUGCAACUCCAGCUUGGUUGGUUGAAAGGUGAUGGUAUACCUUUCAGGCCCAUAGCAGCCUCAGUCAAGCACACUACUGCUAAACUUUCACCAUGCCUGGCUAAGAUCUCCUAGGUUGAUAUGCGCAAUAAAAGUACGCGUAAGAGGACAUGAUUUUGAUA